AAGAAGUUAACUAUAUACAUAAAAACAAGCUUACUCAUGUUAUUUAUGAAUCCUGAGUGCCUACAGAGGUUACACAACACUGAUUUUCUACUUGUGUUUCAUAUCUAAAGUGUUCCUGGUCUCCCUAGUAAGUGUUGAGGUGUGGGAACCAGGUGAGAAGUUAACUAUAUACAUAAAAACAAGCUUACUUAUGUUAUUUAUGAAUCCUGAGUGCCUACAGAGGUUACACAACACUGAUUUUCUACUUGUGUUUCAUAUCUAAAGUGUUCCUGGUCUCCCUAGUAAGUGUUGAGGUGUGGGAACCAGGUAAGGAGUUAACUACAUACAUAAAAACAAGCUUACUUAUGUUAUUUAUCAAUCCUGAGUGUCUAUAGAGGUUACACAACACUGAUAUUCUACUUGUGUUUCAUGUCUAAAGUGUUCCUGGUCUCCCUAGUAAGUGUUAAGGUGUGAGAACCAGGUAAGGAGUUAACUACAUACAUAAAAACAAGCUUACUUAUGUUAUUUAUCCACCCUGAGUGCCAAUAGAGGUUACACAACACUGAUAUUCUACUUGUGUUUCAUGUCUAAAGUGUUCCUGGUCUCCCUAGUAAGUGUUAAGGUGUGGGAACCAGGUGAGGAGUUAACUAUAUACAUAAAAACAAGCUUACUUAUGUUAUUUAUCCACCCUGAGUGCCUACAGAGGUUACACAACACUGAUUCUA